CUGGUCUUGGUAUACUGUCCUGUAGCAGUAUAUUUUGGCUACCUGUACUGGCAUUGGCUUUUCCAAGUGUCAAGAUUACAGGAAAAGAAGUUUUAUUAUUGAUGCAAGCCCUAAACACUCUUUCGACUCCAGAGGAGAAGCUGGCAGCUCUCUGUAAGAAAUAUGCUGAUCUUGGAAAUUCACCUCUUCUAUAGAAGAGUUUGUUUUGAACUAUACGAUUUGAAACAAAAUUCUUUUUUUGGAGACUAUGGAAACAUUCUCAACAGGGAAACCCUACUAGACUUUGUAAAGCAAAUAAUGGAAAAGAUACAGAACUUUUUGAAGAAUCAUGGGAAAUUUUUAUAAUUAAAUAAAUGCUAAAAUUCUGUUUUGUGAAACAUUUAUGGGAAUUAUCACUGACAGUUUUUGUACACUUUCAAAUAGUGUUAAAGCAGCAACUCCAUGUUGUAAAUGCACAAAACAAAUAUUUAGUUAAUAAUCAACUCCAAGAAUAAAGCUGUAACAAUAAUA
rnacentral:lncRNA from 10 species